rnacentral:rRNA from 1 species
GAUGAACGCUGGCGGCGUGCCUAAUACAUGCAAGUCGAGCGAAUGGAUUAAGAGCUUGCUCUUAUGAAGUUAGCGGCGGACGGGUGAGUAACACGUGGGUAACCUGCCCAUAAGACUGGGAUAACUCCGGGAAACCGGGGCUAAUACCGGAUAACAUUUUGAACCGCAUGGUUCGAAAUUGAAAGGCGGCUUCGGCUGUCACUUAUGGAUGGACCCGCGUCGCAUUAGCUAGUUGGUGAGGUAACGGCUCACCAAGGCGACGAUGCGUGGCCGACCUGAGAGGGUGAUCGGCCACACUGGGACUGAGACACGGCCCAGACUCCUACGGGAGGCAGCAGUAGGGAAUCUUCCGCAAUGGACGAAAGUCUGACGGAGCAACGCCGCGUGAGUGAUGAAGGCUUUCGGGUCGUAAAACUCUGUUGUUAGGGAAGAACAAGUGCUAGUUGAAUAAGCUGACACCUUGACGGUACCUAACCAGAAAGCCACGGCUAACUACGUGCCAGCCGCCGCAGUAA